GGUUUAGUAUUCAAAAUGAUUUUAGAUUGCAAAUUUAAAGGUGGAAUAAAUCCCUAAACCU
rnacentral:tRNA from 1 species